rnacentral:rRNA from 1 species
UGGGGAAUAUUGCACAAUGGGCGCAAGCCUGAUGCAGCCAUGCCGCGUGUGUGAAGAAGGCCUUCGGGUUGUAAAGCACUUUCAGUCGUGAGGAAGGUAGUGUAGUUAAUAGCUGCAUUAUUUGACGUUAGCGACAGAAGGAAGCACCGGCUAACUCCGUGC